rnacentral:misc_RNA from 1 species
AAGUCGUAACAAGGUUUUCGUAGGUGAACCUGCGGAAGGAUCAUUAGUGAAUAAAAAUGGUGGGUCUUCUCUGAAUAAGAGUUGGCCUUUAUCCAAUCACUUUUUCACACACACUUGUGCACUUGUUCUUUUUUACUAUUUCAACACAACAAGUUGUGUUGAGAUUUUAAAUAUACACUUGUGAUAAUUAAUAACAGUUGUUGAUGUAAUAACAAUUUGAUAAAUGAUAGUAAAAACUUUCAGCAAUGGAUCUCUUGGCUCUC